rnacentral:rRNA from 1 species
AGAGAAACGCUGGCGGCGUGCUUACACAUGCAAGUCGAACGAUGAAGCCCAGCUUGCUGGGUGGAUUAGUGGCGAACGGGUGAGUAACACGUGAGUAACCUGCCCUUAACUCUGGGAUAAGCCUGGGAAACUGGGUCUAAUACCGGAUAGGAGCGCCUACCGCAUGGUGGGUGUUGGAAAGAUUUAUCGGUUUUGGAUGGACUCGCGGCCUAUCAGCUUGUUGGUGAGGUAAUGGCUCACCAAGGCGACGACGGGUAGCCGGCCUGAGAGGGUGACCGGCCACACUGGGACUGAGACACGGCCCAGACUCCUACGGGAGGCAGCAGUGGGGAAUAUUGCACAAUGGGCGCAAGCCUGAUGCACGACGCCGCGUGAGGGAUGACGGCCUUCGGGUUGUAAACCUCUUUCAGUAGGAAGAAGCGAAAGUGACGGUACCUGCAAAAACCCGGCUAACUACGUGCCACCGCAGCGAUAA